rnacentral:rRNA from 1 species
AGCGAACGCUGGCGGCAGGCUUAACACAUGCAAGUCGAGCGGGCGUAGCAAUACGUCAGCGGCAGACGGGUGAGUAACGCGUGGGAACGUACCUUUUGGUUCGGAACAACACAGGGAAACUUGUGCUAAAUACCGGAUAAGCCCUUACGGGGAAAGAUUUAUCGCCGAAAGAUCGGCCCGCGUCUGAUUAGCUUGUUGGUGAGGUAACGGCUCACCAAGGCGACGAUCAGUAGCUGGUCUGAGAGGAUGAUCAGCCACAUUGGGACUGAGACACGGCCCAAACUCCUACGGGAGGCAGCAGUGGGGAAUAUUGGACAAUGGGGGAAACCCUGAUCCAGCCAUGCCGCGUGAGUGAUGAAGGCCCUAGGGUUGUAAAGCUCUUUUGUGCGGGAAGAUAAUGACAGUACCGGGAGAAUAAGCCCCGGCUAACUCCGUGCCAGCAGCCGCGGUAAU